AUGAGUGUGGCGUCCAGGGGGUUUAGACGGCAAAGCCCCGCCAAGAGAAGAAGGGAGAUGCCGACCACAUCGAAUACCGUUGAGGGACCGAGUGGGAGGAGGAGGAAACACCGUUCACUGACUUCAGCCUCGUACUUGCCGUUGGAGGCUUUAAUAAGCCCGAGUGGAAGAGCUUUCAGGAAGGAUGAGUCGUGCCAGGGAAACAGCAAGUGUAACGCUUUGCCAUGUGAGAUGAUUCGAGAUACAGAUGCUGCCCAAUUUCUACCAUCUCAUUAAAUUUAUGAAGCAUUCUGGCAUACUGAGUUCUCAAUUGUUCGGGAGUAAGAUGAUUUUGUAUGAAAAUAGUCAAUUAUGGAUGCAAGAUAUGAAAAUACAGAUGCAUUCGAAGAUGAAUGUUGGAUAUUCUAGGCUGGCAACAAAAAGUCAUUUGAAAUGAUUAUUUCCAUCAGCUUGGCCUUGAAUCAAGAAAAUUGGCCUUUCCAGCAACUUCCCAGCCACAGUGAUAUUUGUUUUCAUCAGAAGCCCUACAGGAAUGAUUCAAAUUUGCAGAUUAGGGAUAAAUAAAUACAUUGUAUGAAAAGAAAAACA
rnacentral:lncRNA from 1 species